UACGUAGGGGGCAAGCGUUGUCCGGAUUUAUUGGGCGUAAAGAGCUCGUAGGCGGUCUGUCGCGUCUGCUGUGAAAACUCAGGGCUUAACCCCGAGCCUGCAGUGGAUACGGGCAGACUAGAGGUAGGUAGGGGAGAAUGGAAUUCCCGGUGUAGCGGUGAAAUGCGCAGAUAUCGGGAGGAACACCGGUGGCGAAGGCGGUUCUCUGGGCCUUACCUGACGCUGAGGAGCGAAAGCGUGGGGAGCGAACAGG
rnacentral:rRNA from 1 species